rnacentral:rRNA from 1 species
AUUGAACGCUGGCGGAAUGCUUUACACAUGCAAGUCGAACGGCAGCACGGACUUCGGUCUGGUGGCGAGUGGCGAACGGGUGAGUAAUGUAUCGGAACGUAUCCAAUAAUGGGGGAUAACUAGUCGAAAGAUUAGCUAAUACCGCAUACGCCCUACGGGGGAAAGCUAGGGACCUUCGGGCCUGGCGUUACUGGAGCGGCCGAUAUCUGAUUAGCUAGUUGGUGAGGUAAAAGCUCACCAAGGCGACGAUCAGUAGCUGGUCUGAGAAGACGACCAGCCACACUGGAACUGAGACACGGUCCAGACUCCUACGGGAGGCAGCAGUGGGGAAUUUUGGACAAUGGGCGAAAGCCUGAUCCAGCCAUUCCGCGUGAGUGAAGAAGGCCUUCGGGUUGUAAAGCUCUUUCGCAAGAGAAGAAAACUUACCCUCUAACAUAGGGUGAGGCUGACGGUAUCUUGAUAAGAAGCACCGGCUAACUACGUGCCAGCCGCCGCAGUAA